CAGUCGCCACGGUAAUGCGUAGGGUGCGAGCGUUAAUCGGAAUUACUGGGCGUAAAGCGUGCGCAGGCGGUUGUGUAAGACAGGUGUGAAAUCCCCGGGCUUAACCUGGGAACAGCGCUUGUGACUGCACAGCUAGAGUAUGGCAGAGGGGGGUGGAAUUCCACGUGUAGCAGUGAAAUGCGUAGAGAUGUGGAGGAACACCGAUGGUGAAGGCAGCCCCCUGGGCCAAUACUGACGCUGAGGAGCGAAAGCGUGGGGAGCGAACAGGAUUAGAGACCCCAGUAGUCCCUGUCUCUUAUAC
rnacentral:rRNA from 1 species